CUUGUGAUGGUCUCCUGGCCACAUGGGGAGCUCCUCGAGGGCAAGGCCUGGGAACAUCUGGAGUCAGUGAACACAGCAGGAAGGGGGGAUGGUCAAGCGCACCACAGGCUUGGAAGCAGACACGCCCAGUUCAAGCCCCACUCCAGCCCUCCUCAAGUGGGUCACUCCUCACGGCCUGUGAGUUCACCUCUUCAUCUGAGCUCGCUUCAGAUGACGCCCCCAGUGCCAGGUGAUCAUCUGCCGCUGUGUCCUCAGCAUCUGGCCCAGCCCCAUGGGGACCAUCUGUUAAAGCUCCAUCUACCCUACGAGGAGGCGAGUCCCCAAGGGCAGGGCUGGGUCUGAUUCACCUCUUCCUCCCCGGAGCCCAGGGUUCACUCUGCAACUCUGCUGGCUGAAGGGCCUGCUCCCAGCCCAGCUUGGCUGUCCAGUGGGGAGGGGCACCGCUGCCUUGCCCGAGGUUCCCUCUGCACCCCACGAUGGGCGCUGCGUCCUCCAUCCUCUGGUGCACCAGGUUAGCUUGACUCCAGGUGCCCUGCUGGUGUGGCUCCACCUGGUCGCUGGGGUCUGUCUUCCCAGCUCCCAUCCGCCCUUCCCUGCAUCCUCCUGGGCUGGUUCCAGUUUGGGGCCAUCAUCUCUUGUGCAUCUUUGCUCACGGCGUCUUCUGCACCUGCACUCCCAUCUGACCUUUCCAGACCAACUUCCACCCUGCCCCAACAGAGUGCUUUCAGAUCACCCGCCCUGCGAAAAUGUGUCGGUGAUCACUGUGACUAGAACAAGUCCUCGUGUCUCUCUAUGUGAGCCCCCAACCCACUCUCCAGCUACCCCUAGAACCAAAACAGCAUCCUGCCGCUGCCACGGUGGUGCAGCCACACUGAGCAUCCCAAACCUCGCCGGAAGCACGUUCCUCCUCCGUGCCUGUGCUUCUGCUGGUCUAAAUCAUUAUCUAUUGCUGAGGCUCACAGCAGAUGUCGCCUCUUCCAUAAAAGCUUUUCUGACUCCUUCACCCAGGAAGCAGGGUCCUGCCCUCCUCUGCAGCCCCACGUGGCCCACUUGGCAUGAGUGGCUGGCUUGCUCGCCUUCCUGGCCACACCAGAUGGGCUGUGCUUUCUUCACCUCUGCAUUCCAGGUGUCUCCUACGGACCUGGAAUGGGGUGGUCAUUUGGUGCGUGUUUGUUGAAACUGAAUUUUACAUGGCAGGGAUUUCAGACUCUUCUCUGGUUGGGUUUUGGGCUGACUGCUGAACAGUCCAUUUGCUAUCAGACAAAAUUCAGUUGCGGUCACGUCAGACAUUUCCUUUAGCCAAAUCGUUAUCUGAGGGUAUCACUGGAAUACACAUCAGCACUAGCUUGAUCUGCUUGGAAACCACCAAUGGCAUCCGCUCCGAGUCUUCCGAUGAUGUCCAGAUGGGAGCUGCUGCGCUUAGUGCAUUUUCUAUCAUUAAGCUGACGGGAGCUCCACGUCUGAGAGGGGCGUUUGGCCUUGGGUGGGUCACGCCUCUCUGUGUGCCCGUUUCUCCUCUGGAGCGGCAAGAAGCAGCAGCCAGAGUAUCAGCAAGGUCCCAUGGAAGGUGGAGUGAUCUCCAUUUUGCUAAUGCAAAGCACCCUUGGCAGUCAGUGUCCUGCACAUUUAUACAGAGCUCCAAGCCCACUGUGGUAGACUGGGGCUUCCCUUGGUGGCUGCAACAUCUGGCCUCACCACCGUGUUGAAUGGAGGAGACCCUAGCAUAUCAUCCAAACGCCUACUUCCCACUUCUGGGAACUUCUCGCUCCCAGAUUCAGAAACUGUCCUGGGGCACCAGCAGUGACUUGAGCAGGGGAAGAGUGGGGCCAAGCCUGGCCUCCAGAAGCCAUCGGCCUCCAGAAGCCGUCAGCCUCCAGAAGCCGUCAGCCUCCAGUCCAGAGUGGCACAGCCAGCAAGCUUCACAGCGACUUCCUUCCAGGAGGACCAGGUGCAGCUAGCACUGCUGCAAGCCAACUCCCAGGAAACUUCACACCUCGAGAGGAUGUGACCUGGGUUAAGGUGAUGGCCUUCUGGAAACUGGAAGAGAACACCCCUCCAUGGCAGGUAACAAGAGACGCUUCAUCUUCAAGUCUUUUCUUCUGUCCAGAAAGCACUCAGAGAAAUUACAAUAAUAAAGUUAGUCCAUUAUA
rnacentral:lncRNA from 1 species